GAGAACUUAAGACCAAAUUAUGAACUUAACCCAAUCAAAUUGCUGAGCAAAGUUGAGUCAACCAAUCUGCCAGAAUCUGGAAGCUGUAAAAUUGGUACACAAACAGUAAAUUUUGAAUUGUUAUAACUCACUCUAAAAAACUCCAAUUUAGUUGAUUCCUGAACCAAUGGAAACUUGAAACAUAGUAGAAUAUUUCAUAUGAAGAACUUAAGGCCAAAUUAUGAACUUAACUCAAUUAAAUUACUGAGCAAAUUUGGGUCAAUAAAUCUGCCAGAAUCUGCCCACGUGAACACUAACUAUUGAUUUAAUCAUAAAUUGAGCUACAUAACUCCAAAUUAGAUAAUUCAAAAAGGAAAAUAAAUUUGAGACCUAGAGGAAUAGUUUUCAUGAAGAAAACCUCACCAAAUUAUGAUGGGAACUAGGUAAAAAUUUGGUUCAAAGAUUAGGGCAU
rnacentral:misc_RNA from 1 species